GAGAGGCCACCUUAGCCGCCUGCCCGCGGGGUGAGGCGGGGCUCCCGGGGCAGGUCACCGCCGGGGAAGCGGGGGAGCGCCUCGGCCUCCGAGCCACAGGACUGCUGGGUCCUCGAGCCUGAGUUUGCAGCUCCCGGCCCCCCAGUGACAAAGGGGGCCUACACGCCCAGACCUGGAGCAGCCGUCGCGGUGGCCGAGCUGGAGUCAUUUUUAGACAUUCAAGAUAAAGAGAGAGGAGCCAGACAGGUGAGGCACCAUGCCUGGGGUUACACAGCAGGCUACAGGCAGUGUUACAGAGCAAAGAGAAUGCUGAAUAUAUGCUUCCCAGCUGACCUGUCCAAGUUCAUGUACUCUCAGCCUCCCCAUCUUGGAAGGCAAGAGUUAGGGCAGGAGCCUGGACACACUGCUCCCCAGCCUCUUGGACACCACCCCUCAGGAACAACGGGUCUUCUGACGCACACACCUGCAGGAGGUGCCCAGACUUGAGACAGCUGUUGUGACGGCCCAAACUGGAAUAAUUUUUAGAGGCUCAAUGUCAAGGCAUGGGGUUUUCAGGGUAUGGGGCAGUUGACCUUGGGUUUUUUCAAUUGUGGGUUCUACAGGACUUUCCAUUUUCAAUGGUAAGAAAGUAGGCCAACCCUCUGUGGCCCCCACUUCUUUCAUGGCAUUCAAGGUACCCUGGUCACAUGGUUGUCUGUACAGGUGAUGCACCCCUGAAUGGGGCAGGGCAUGAAGGAAAUAUGUCAGGGCAGGGCUCACAGGACCAAAUCCUCUGCAAAUAUUUCAAAUAAGGGAAAGAGAGGAAUG